rnacentral:rRNA from 1 species
GACGAACCGUGCAAACGUUGUUCGGAAUCACUGGGCUUAAAGGGCGCGUAGGCGGGCCAGCCAGUCUGUGGUGAAAGCCUCCAGCUUAACUGGAGAAGUGCCGUGGAUACUGCUGGCCUCGAGGAGGAUAGGGGCAUCUGGAACGGUCGGUGGAGCGGUGAAAUGCGUUGAUAUCGACCGGAACUCCGGUGGCGAAGGCGAGGUGCUGGGUCCUUUCUGACGCUGAGGAGCGAAAGCGUGGGGAGCGAACAGG